AAAUUGAAGAGUUUGAUCAUGGCUCAGAUUGAACGCUGGCGGCAGGCCUAACACAUGCAAGUCGAGCGGUAGCACAGAGAGCUUGCUCUCGGGUGACGAGCGGCGGACGGGUGAGUAAUGUCUGGGAAACUGCCUGAUGGAGGGGGAUAACUACUGGAAACGGUAGCUAAUACCGCAUAAUGUCGCAAGACCAAAGUGGGGGACCUUCGGGCCUCAUGCCAUCAGAUGUGCCCAGAUGGGAUUAGCUAGUAGGUGGGGUAACGGCUCACCUAGGCGACGAUCCCUAGCUGGUCUGAGAGGAUGACCAGCCACACUGGAACUGAGACACGGUCCAGACUCCUACGGGAGGCAGCAGUGGGGAAUAUUGCACAAUGGGCGCAAGCCUGAUGCAGCCAUGCCGCGUGUGUGAAGAAGGCCUUCGGGUUGUAAAGCACUUUCAGCGGGGAGGAAGGCGGUGAGGUUAAUAACCUCACCGAUUGACGUUACCCGCAGAAGAAGCACCGGCUAACUCCGUGCCAGCAGCCGCGGUAAUACGGAGGGUGCAAGCGUUAAUCGGAAUUACUGGGCGUAAAGCGCACGCAGGCGGUCUGUCAAGUCGGAUGUGAAAUCCCCGGGCUCAACCUGGGAACUGCAUUCGAAACUGGCAGGCUAGAGUCUUGUAGAGGGGGGUAGAAUUCCAGGUGUAGCGGUGAAAUGCGUAGAGAUCUGGAGGAAUACCGGUGGCGAAGGCGGCCCCCUGGACAAAGACUGACGCUCAGGUGCGAAAGCGUGGGGAGCAAACAGGAUUAGAUACCCUGGUAGUCCACGCCGUAAACGAUGUCGAUUUGGAGGUUGUGCCCUUGAGGCGUGGCUUCCGGAGCUAACGCGUUAAAUCGACCGCCUGGGGAGUACGGCCGCAAGGUUAAAACUCAAAUGAAUUGACGGGGGCCCGCACAAGCGGUGGAGCAUGUGGUUUAAUUCGAUGCAACGCGAAGAACCUUACCUGGUCUUGACAUCCACAGAACUUUCCAGAGAUGGAUUGGUGCCUUCGGGAACUGUGAGACAGGUGCUGCAUGGCUGUCGUCAGCUCGUGUUGUGAAAUGUUGGGUUAAGUCCCGCAACGAGCGCAACCCUUAUCCUUUGUUGCCAGCGGUCCGGCCGGGAACUCAAAGGAGACUGCCAGUGAUAAACUGGAGGAAGGUGGGGAUGACGUCAAGUCAUCAUGGCCCUUACGACCAGGGCUACACACGUGCUACAAUGGCAUAUACAAAGAGAAGCGACCUCGCGAGAGCAAGCGGACCUCAUAAAGUAUGUCGUAGUCCGGAUUGGAGUCUGCAACUCGACUCCAUGAAGUCGGAAUCGCUAGUAAUCGUAGAUCAGAAUGCUACGGUGAAUACGUUCCCGGGCCUUGUACACACCGCCCGUCACACCAUGGGAGUGGGUUGCAAAAGAAGUAGGUAGCUUAACCUUCGGGAGGGCGCUUACCACUUUGUGAUUCAUGACUGGGGUGAAGUCGUAACAAGGUAACCGUAGGGGAACCUGCGGUUGGAUCACCUCCUUACCUUAAAGAA
rnacentral:rRNA from 2 species